rnacentral:rRNA from 1 species
GACGAACCGUGCGAACGUUAUUCGGAAUCACUGGGCUUAAAGGGCGCGUAGGCGGGUCGGUAAGUCAGGGGUGAAAUCCCACGGCCCAACCGUGGAAGUGCCUCUGAUACUGCCGGCCUCGAGGGGGAUAGGGGCGUGCGGAACUCAGGGUGGAGCGGUGAAAUGCGUAGAUCUCGAGAGGAACACCAGUGGCGAAGGCGGGUCUCUGGACAACACCUGACGCUGAGGCACGAAAGCCAGGGGAGCAAACGGG